GACGAACGCUGGCGGCGUGCCUAAUACAUGCAAGUCGAACGCAGUGGGGACGGGUGAGUAACACGUGGGUAACCUCCCAUCAGAGGGGAUAACACUUGGAAACAGGUGCUAAACCGAUACUGAUGGAUGGACCCGCGGGGCAUUAGCUAGUUGGUGAGGUAACGGCUCACCAAGGCCACGAUGCAUAGCGGACCUGAGAGGGGGAUCGGCCACCCGGGGACUGAGACACGGCCCAGACUCCUACGGGAGGCAGCAGUGGGGAAUAGUGCACAAUGGGCGCAAGCCUGAUGCAGCCAUGCCGCGGGUAUGAAGAAGGCCCUAGGGUUGUAAAGUACUUUCAGUCGGGAGGCGUUACCGACAGAAGAAGCACCGGCUAACUCCGUGCCAGCAGCCGCGGUAAUAC
rnacentral:rRNA from 1 species